rnacentral:rRNA from 1 species
AGGCCCUUUCGGGGGUACUUCAGUGGCGGACGGGUGAGUAACACGUAGGUGACCUACCCCGAAGUGGGGAAUAACAAUCCGAAAGGAUUGCUAAUACCCCAUGUGAUCGAUGAGGUUAGAGUCUUGUCGAUUAAAGCAGUAAUGUGCUUCGGGAGGGGCCUGCGCCCCAUCAGCUAGUUGGUAGGGUAAUGGCCUACCAAGGCUACAACGGGUAGGGGGCCUGAGAGGGUGACCCCCCACAUUGGCACUGACACACGGGCCAAACUCCUACGGGAGGCAGCAGUGAGGAAUAUUGGUCAAUGGGCGAGAGCCUGAACCAGCCAUCCCGCGUGCAGGAAGAAGGCCCUAUGGGUUGUAAACUGCUUUUGUGCAUGAAGAACACCCCCGACGUGUCGGGGGCUGACGGUAAUGCGUGAAUAAGCACCGGCUAACUCCGUGCCAGCAGCCGCGGUAAUACGGAGGGUGCAAGCGUUAUCCGGAUUUAUUGGGUUUAAAGGGUGCGUAGGCGGCCUUUUAAGUCAGUGGUGAAAACCUGCGGCUCAACCGUAGGCGUGCCAUUGAAACUGAAGGGCUUGAGUUAUCAUGAGGCAGGCGGAAUGUGUAGUGUAGCGGUGAAAUGCUUAGAUAUUACACAGAACACCGAUUGCGUAGGCAGCUUGCUAAAGGUACACUGACGCUGAUGCACGAAAGCGUGGGGAUCGAACAGGA